CAGUCAUGAGGGAAGAAUGACUCUGUCAUGUGAAACAUGUAACAGAAUAAGUAAUUGCCUUAUAGGACAGAAAAAAUAAGGCCAGAGGGAAAGAUAAACUCUUGUGUCCAGCUUGGAAAGAUAAUGACUCAACUCGGUGAAGUGGGAGAGUCAGGCAUGGUUGGUUUGAAAAUUAGGAAUGUCUUACUUGAUGGUGAAAUUUUUCUUGUGUAGGUUUACUUCUGGGAUAGGGUCCGUGAGUCUGUCUGAAGGGACCAGAGCAGAAUGUCACUCCAUUAGAUUUUGAGAACCUUUCAUUUUCAAGUUUUGUCUUUUCUUUUUCCUCCAAGGGGCCAGGGAAUGGGAAAGUACUGGGUGCUAACGGGCCAUUUACCUCAGAGAGCCCCACGUUUUGGAGGAAAUAACGUGGAGAAUCAGAGGAGAGGAGUCUUCCGAGGGACCUCCAAGUUGUCAAGCAACACCCAGAAGCUUACAGCUAGAAUGAGUGUUGAUCCCUAAAUGGAAGGAAAAAGGAGUCGAAAUGGAAUUGAAGACAUUGAACCGUGUGAAGCAACUUACACUGUGGAGCUUCAGGUUACGAAUGAGUUCGUUUUCAUCCACGCAUGAUCCACGUGAAGUCCACUACACAUCCAUGAUGCUCCCUGGAAGGAGUUUAGAAUAAUGCCCGGCACCUGCUAAGGGCUCAGUCAAUGUUGGCUCUUUACCUCUGACUCCACCUACAAUUUCCAUAAUUCCAGGGUCAUGAACAACCUCAGCCGAGCUUUCUAAAGCAAAUACACGAAGGAAGAGUUAAGGCUUCAUCUCCCUGACUCUUCCUCGUUGGAGUUGCUUUCUCCGUGUUUCACUGUACUCAUAUUCAUCAGGCUCGGAGAUUCUUACUGCAUUUGGCUUUAUCUUGAUUACAGGACGAUUGGAAACCGAUGGUUUCUAUUAUUUUUGAAAAGCAUCUGAAAGCUUCGAACAAUAAACACAUUUAUGCAUCUUC